GGCUGGUCCAAGGGUAGUACGUCAUCCAAAUUUAUUAACAUUAGUGUCACUAAGAUUGCUAUGCAACGCCCCACUGUGAAAUUUGACUUGUCUUUU
rfam:Homo sapiens chromosome 20, GRCh38 reference primary assembly.